CAGGCCUAACACAUGCAAGUCGAGCGGAUGGGUGGAGCUUGCUCCAUGAUUCAGCGGCGGACGGGUGAGUAAUGCCUAGGAAUCUGCCUGGUAGUGGGGGACAACGUUUCGAAAGGAACGCUAAUACCGCAUACGUCCUACGGGGAGACAGUGGGGGAUCUUCGGACCUCACGCUAUCAGAUGAGCCUAGGUCGGAUUAGCUAGUUGGUGAGGUAAAGGCUCACCAAGGCGACGAUCCGUAACUGGUCUGAGAGGAUGAUCAGUCACACUGGAACUGAGACACGGUCCAGACUCCUACGAGAGGCAGCAGUGGGGAAUAUUGGACAAUGGGCGAAAGCCUGAUCCAGCCAUGCCGCGUGUGUGAAGAAGGUCUUCGGAUUGUAAAGCACUUUAAGUUGGGAGGAAGGGCAGUAAGUUAAUACCUUGCUGUUUUGACGUUACCAACAGAAUAAGCACCGGCUAACUUCGUG
rnacentral:rRNA from 1 species